rnacentral:rRNA from 1 species
UCUCCUGGGAAACGGGUGGUAAUGCCGGAUGCUCCGACUCCUCGCAUGGGGUGUCGGGAAAGAUUUCAUCGGUAUGGGAUGGGGUCGCGUCCUAUCAGGUAGUCGGCGGGGUAACGGCCCACCGAGCCUACGACGGGUAGCCGGCCUGAGAGGGCGACCGGCCACAUUGGGACUGAGAUACGGCCCAGACUCCUACGGGAGGCAGCAGUGGGGAAUAUUGCACAAUGGGCGCAAGCCUGAUGCAGCGACGCCGCGUGCGGGAUGACGGCCUUCGGGUUGUAAACCGCUUUUGAUCGGGAGCAAGCCUUCGGGUGAGUGUACCUUUCGAAUAAGCACCGGCUAACUACGUGCCAGCAGCCGCGGUAAUACGUAGGGUGCAAGCGUUAUCCGGAAUUAUUGGGCGUAAAGGGCUCGUAGGCGGUUCGUCGCGUCCGGUGUGAAAGUCCAUCGCUUAACGGUGGAUCUGCGCCGGGUACGGGCGGGCUGGAGUGCGGUAGGGGAGACUGGAAUUCCCGGUGUAACGGUGGAAUGUGUAGAUA